rnacentral:misc_RNA from 1 species
AUGAAUUUCGAGUAACCAUUUAACUGGUGCUCAACCUUCAUUUCUAACCCUGUGAACUAUUAUUGGAUUGGUGACUUUGGUCGCUUUUCCACCUUUUUAUUACAAACUUUUGUAUUAGAAUGUUUAUUAAACUAUAAUAAAGA